CUUGAACUUUAUAAGAGGUCCAGCCUGCCCAGUGACUCUGUUCAACGGCCGCGGUAUCCUAACCGUGCGAAGGUAGCGUAAUCACUUGUUCUUUAAAUGAGGACUAGUAUGAAUGGCACUACGAGGGUUAUACUGUCUCCUUUCUCUAAUCAGUGAAACUAAUUUUCCCGUGAAGAAGCGGGGAUAUAUUUAUAAGACGAGAAGACCCUAUGGAGCUUUAAACAACUCAGCAAUUUCUCCUAAAUUCACAAAUUCAGAAUGUUCAUUUUUAAGAAAUAUGUCUGCAAGUUUUUGGUUGGGGUGACCAUGGAGAAUAAUAUAACCUCCAUAUUGAAUGAAUUUUUUUAAGCUAAAAACUACCAAUUAAAGCAUCAAUACACUGACAUUUAUUGACCCA
rnacentral:rRNA from 1 species